CUACAUUCUGGGUGAAACCUUUGUCAGCUGAAGCAAAAUGCCUGAGCAUUUGCUUUAAAUUUUUUACAUUCAGUUUUUAAAAUUAACGUCCAUUUUGGAGAGACUAGAUGAAGUUGUUAAUGUGUUCUCCAGCAGUGAAGGAAGGCUCCAGAACUGCCCCAGGGCUGCUUUCCUCACUCAGGGCACCUGCUUUGCAAGAGGGGACACUACUCCUCCUAGACACUGGACUCCAGAAGUCUUGGCAACUCGUUGUAGCCUCCUGUCUAGCACUUAGGAGAUGCACAGUUGUUAACUGA
rnacentral:lncRNA from 1 species